rnacentral:rRNA from 1 species
AUGGCCGAGGACGCCCCCAACGCCGGCGCUGAGGACAUCCACCCCGCGCCUACCGAAGCCUCCGCCGACGCCGCUACACCUCCGGCGUCGGCAGAGAAGUCCUCGUCGGAGACGCUGCUCCCGUCGCUCAGCAUCUGGCCGCCGUCGCAGCGCACGCGCGACGCCGUAGUGCGGCGCGUCGUGCAGACCCUGUCCGCGCCCAGCGUCCUCUCCCAGCGCUACGGCGCCAUCCCUGAGCCCGAGGCCGAGGGCGCCGCAGCCGCCGUCGAGGCCGAGGCCUUCGCCGCCGCCUCGGAGUCCGCCGCCGCCUCCCCCACCUCCCUGGAGGACGGGAUCGAGGUCCUCCAGGCCUACUCCAAGGAGGUCAGCCGCCGCCUCCUCGAGCUCGCCAAGUCGCGCGCCGCUGCCGCCGCCGCAACAGAGACCCCCGCGGAACCGAGCGCUGAAGAGUCGGAGGGUUCGUCGGUGACUGCUCCGCCCCCAACGGAGGAGUAA